CCUGGCUCAGGAUGAACGCUAGCUACAGGCUUAACACAUGCAAGUCGAGGGGCAGCAUGGUCUUAGCUUGCUAAGGCCGAUGGCGACCGGCGCACGGGUGAGUAACACGUAUCCAACCUGCCGUCUACUCUUGGACAGCCUUCUGAAAGGAAGAUUAAUACAAGAUGGCAUCAUGAGUCCGCAUGUUCACAUGAUUAAAGGUAUUCCGGUAGACGAUGGGGAUGCGUUCCAUUAGAUAGUAGGCGGGGUAACGGCCCACCUAGUCUUCGAUGGAUAGGGGUUCUGAGAGGAAGGUCCCCCACAUUGGAACUGAGACACGGUCCAAACUCCUACGGGAGGCAGCAGUGAGGAAUAUUGGUCAAUGGGCGAGAGCCUGAACCAGCCAAGUAGCGUGAAGGAUGACUGCCCUAUGGGUUGUAAACUUCUUUUAUAAAGGAAUAAAGUCGGGUAUGGAUACCCGUUUGCAUGUACUUUAUGAAUAAGGAUCGGCUAACUCCGUGCCAGCAGCCGCGGUAAUACGGAGGAUCCGAGCAUUAUCCGGAUUUAUUGGGUUUAAAGGGAGCGUAGAUGGAUGUUUAAGUCAGUUGUGAAAGUUUGCGGCUCAACCGUAAAAUUGCAGUUGAUACUGGAUAUCUUGAGUGCAGUUGAGGCAGGCGGAAUUCGUGGUGUAGCGGUGAAAUGCUUAGAUAUCACGAAGAACUCCGAUUGCGAAGGCAGCCUGCUAAGCUGCAACUGACAUUGAGGCUCGAAAGUGUGGGUAUCAAACAGGAUUAGAUACCCUGGUAGUCCACACGGUAAACGAUGAAUACUCGCUGUUUGCGAUAUACUGCAAGCGGCCAAGCGAAAGCGUUAAGUAUUCCACCUGGGGAGUACGCCGGCAACGGUGAAACUCAAAGGAAUUGACGGGGGCCCGCACAAGCGGAGGAACAUGUGGUUUAAUUCGAUGAUACGCGAGGAACCUUACCCGGGCUUAAAUUGCAGAUGAAUUACGGUGAAAGCCGUAAGCCGCAAGGCAUCUGUGAAGGUGCUGCAUGGUUGUCGUCAGCUCGUGCCGUGAGGUGUCGGCUUAAGUGCCAUAACGAGCGCAACCCUUGUUGUCAGUUACUAACAGGUUCCGCUGAGGACUCUGACAAGACUGCCAUCGUAAGAUGUGAGGAAGGUGGGGAUGACGUCAAAUCAGCACGGCCCUUACGUCCGGGGCUACACACGUGUUACAAUGGGGGGUACAGAGGGCCGCUACCACGCGAGUGGAUGCCAAUCCCCAAAACCUCUCUCAGUUCGGACUGGAGUCUGCAACCCGACUCCACGAAGCUGGAUUCGCUAGUAAUCGCGCAUCAGCCACGGCGCGGUGAAUACGUUCCCGGGCCUUGUACACACCGCCC
rnacentral:rRNA from 1 species